AAAAUCAGAGGGAGAUGUAACCAUAGGAGAACCGUCAGAAAGACGUGACACUGACUAGCUUCAAAGAUCAACUUUGCAGAGGAAGAGAGAGAAAAAUGAGUCAAAAAUUUUUCACCCAGUGUUUUAUCUUUUCUGGGAACUAGACACUGGAGCCUCUGUGGCCUCAGGGAUACCUUAAAUAAUGACAGAAAACCUUCCUGCACUAUGACUUCAGAUGUGAUUCAUGAUCUCCGAAGAAGAUUUAGCUUCAGGAUAGGGGACCAGGCUUGAUCACUCAGAGCUUUUGUGUGGCAGAAGUUUUAUUACAGUGAAAAAGGACAGAGAACGCUUCUGACAUAGACAUCAGAAGGGAGAGGAAGAGUACCCCACUUGCCAGUCUUAGCAAGGGAGCCAUGUACUUUUUCAAUUGGUUAUUAACGAUAAAUCAGAAGAAUGUCUCAAGGUUGUCAAGGUCUUAGGAGACCUACUCCCACAAUUUACAUUUUAAGAUAACAGAAUUAGAAAUAAAAAUAGAAAGCUCUUACCAGACCACUCCCAUAAUAUAUAUUUUAAGGCUGCAGGCUUAGUCAAGAGGUUCUUAAGAAGGAGAAACAUGUCCUCAAGCAGAAUACAUUGUUGUUAUA
ensembl:lncRNA